AAGGUAUAUUUUGGUUCUACGUAUUCCCGGCAUUAAGUAACGCACGCAAAACCUCAGCAACAAUGGCGCUUAAAACCCUAUCCACUUUCCUCUCACCUCUUUCUCUCCCCAAUCCCAAAUUUCCGCAACUCCUCUCCACCAAACCGUGCCUCAUUCUCUGCGAAUUUCCACGCCCUCAGAAAUCGCGUUUGCCCGCCGCCGAAUCCGAAGGCACCGGCGCCGCUGCUCCCUCGCCGGGAGAGAAGUUCCUCGAACGCCAGCAAUCAAUCGACGCUGCUAAGCUCAUUCUCAAACAGAACCAAAAGAACAAAAAGAGAGAGAAGCCUUUAAAAGCUUCUAAAACCGUCGCUUCUUGCUACGGUUGCGGCGCUCCGUUACACACUUCGGAUGUGGAUGCACCUGGCUACGUCGAUCCUGAAACCUAUGAAUUGAAGAAGAAACAUCACCAGCUUAGAACCGUUCUCUGUAGGCGGUGCCGGCUUUUGUCUCAUGGCAAGAUGAUAACUGCUGUUGGAGGACACGGAGGAUAUUCUGGCGGUAAAUUAUUUGUUACUGCUGAAGAGCUUCGAGAAAAGUUGUCUCACUUGCGUCACGAGAAAGCUCUAAUUGUCAAAUUGGUUGAUAUUGUUGACUUCAAUGGCAGUUUUUUGUCUCGUGUGCGAGAUCUUGCUGGUGCUAAUCCAAUAAUAUUGGUGGUGACUAAGGUUGAUCUCCUUCCAAGAGAUACUGAUCUUAAUUGUAUUGGGGAUUGGGUUGUGGAGGCUACCACAAGAAAAAAACUGAAUGUUCUCAGCGUCCAUCUGACCAGUUCCAAAUCAUUGGUUGGAAUUACUGGAGUGAUAUCAGAAAUCCAGAAAGAGAAGAAGGGAAGAGAUGUUUACAUUCUGGGUUCAGCUAAUGUUGGGAAAUCUGCUUUCAUCAAUGCCUUACUAAAAACAAUGGCUAUAAAUGAUCCAGUGGCUGCAUCUGCUCAAAGAUACAAACCAAUACAAUCUGCAGUUCCUGGAACAACCUUAGGGCCAAUUCAAAUCAAUGCUUUCCUAGGAGGAGGGAAAUUGUUUGAUACACCUGGAGUUCAUCUCUACCAUAGGCAAAGUGCAGUUGUUAAUUCUGAAGAUUUACCCUCACUUGCUCCUCAAAGCCGACUAAGGGGCCGGUCUUUCCCUAGUUCUCAAGUCUCUUCAGACAAUGUAGAAGAAGGAGCUUCUAUAGUGAAUGGCUUGAAUGCAUUCUCAAUAUUUUGGGGAGGUCUUGUUAGAAUUGAUGUCUUGAAGGUUCUCCCAGAAACUUGUUUGACAUUUUAUGGGCCCAAUAGACUACCAAUUCAUAUGGUACCCACAGAGCAAGCAGAUGAAUUUUAUCAGAGUUGCAUUAGAGACAAUGGAUUCUCUCUUUUUCGUUGCUUUCUCUCUUGCACACUGACUUUAUAUUUGUUGUCUUCUUGGGCUAUUUUGGUCCUGGUGCUCUAUAUUCUCCUUCUACACGAGGCAUCUGGCAGUAAUAUAUACCAAUGUUGUCAUUUGAAAGAUCUAUUGAUUUGAUUGUUGAUGUAUGAGUAGUUUCCUCCAAUUGUCUCUUCAUGUCAACAAAGCUUGGGAGUUGUAACACUUGUAAAUUUAAGGAUCUUCCCUCCUCUAACCUGAAUGAUGGCUUUGCCUUAUUGUCUCAGAAAGAACUUGGAGUUUUGCUGACCCCUCCAAGUGGAAGAGAAAAGGGCGAGAACUGGAAAGGACUUGAAUCAGAACGUAAAUUGCAAAUAAAAUUUGAAGAUGUGAAAAGACCAGCUUGUGAUAUAGCUGUAUCAGGUCUAGGAUGGUUUACUGUUGAGCCAGUUAGUAGGUCACACAAAAUCUCACAACCCAAACCUAUAGAGGCUGCUGGUGAAUUGCUUUUAGCGGUGCAUGUCCCCAAGCCUGUUGAGGUUUUUGUGAGGUCGCCAAUACCAGUAGGCAAGGCAGGAGCAGAGUGGUACCAGUAUAGAGAAUUAACAGAGAAAGAAGAGGAAAUGAGACCAAAAUGGUACUUCUAAACUCCGCUAUGUAUUUCUUUUUUGGCAGGAGGAGCGGUUGCAUUUCCAUUUCUGACUUCAAUCUUCGACCUUUUCCAAAAUCUGGGACCAACCAAUUUUCCCUGUAUUAUUAAUGAGAUUAAUUCCUAAGUUGUAUACUGACGACAUCAUUUCAAAAGAAGGAAGUUUAAAGAUAACUAAGAAAUGAUAGCAUUUUCUCACAAUGUGUACUUAGUAGAAUGUUGAGUGAGAUUCUUAUUAAUUUUUCUUGUGUAAAAUUUCACUCUUGCUACCAAGGAUGAAGUU